GCCUGGGUGGCUCAGUCGGUUAAGCGUCUGACUUUGGCUCAGGUCAUGAUCUCUGUCUGUGAGUUCGAGCCCCGCGUCGGGCU
rnacentral:tRNA from 1 species